rnacentral:lncRNA from 1 species
UUUUAAUAUGAAUUUACCAACUUUCAAUAUAAAUGAAAAUCUGGACAUGAAUUAAGACAGUAAUUAAAAUCCUACAGAGAUGCAAACUUUUAAUAUACUUCUCAAAGUGUUAAAUCAAUGCAAUAUGUAAAAUGCAUGAUCAAAUUUUAAAACCUCAAAUUAAAAGUCUGUUCGCACUAGAAAAAUACAAGCAAAUACAUUAGCAACCAACAAUAAAUUAAAACCUAAACAUCCAGCAUAAUUUGAACUUUGAAGAAAAAAUUCCAGCAACACUAGCAUCCAGAAAUUCCAGCAACACCAGCACCAACAUCCAGAAAUUCCAGCAACACCAACAUCCAAAAAUUCCAGCAACAUCCAGAAAUUCCAGAAAUUCCACCAACAUCCAGAAAUUCCAGCAACACCAGCACCAACAUCCAAAAAUUUAUCAUCGGUAAAAAAAUCAGUUAACUUUCAAAUCCAAAAUCAUUCAACAGCACAAAAACAGAAAUCUAAUCUAGAAUGAAUAAUUAAUACAAGUUAAUUGCUAAGCAUCAAACACAUUAAUAGUUAACAUUACAGAAUGAAAGUACUAGGAAUAUAUGGGGAAAAAACCUAAAAGCCAAUUUCCUUUUCGUUUUUCUUUUCUAAACCUUAUACUGUUCUUUCCACUUUCCAAAUAAAUAAGGUGGUCAUCAAAUUCCCCCAGAAAAUAUUCAUAAUAUGCUAAGAUUUUCAAGGAAGAACCAUAGAAAGUGGUUACGAUUUUCAAAUAUUACUAGAAUUUGUGUAAAUUAAUGUGAAAUCUGCACUCUUGUUAUGCAGUACUAAGAUUGAUCGUGGCUAGAAGGCUUAACAAAGCAAAAUAUCAACAGAUUCAAAACAAUCAAAAUAAACCGAUACAUAUUAAAGUUAACAACACUUAACAAAGCAAUCAAGAACUCAAUAUCAACAUAUUCAAAAAAAAAUCAACAGAAAGAAGAAAAGGGCACGGGAAAGAGGGGCAAACCUGAAGAAAUAUGUAAAAACCCUAGCUGCAAAAGAAUAGAAAAAGAAGAAGUAGAGGUCAGAGAUCUCGAAUGGAACAAAUGUUACAAUACAACUUACAAGCACACGAAGCCCAUAAUUAAAACAUGGAUAAACAUUAAACUUUACCUCUUUGACUCUUUUUGCUGCAAGUGAAGAGAGACGCCGAGGGGUUUUGUUCGAGUUUUUUUUCGACUUCGAGUAUACUAGAUGAGUAGUAGAUCGAUGCGGAGAUGAGGGUUAUUUACUUGUUGAUCGGCUAGAGAAGAGAAAUAUACAGGGGGCAAGAGGCAGAGAUGAAGAAAAUUGAAAGGGAAAGUAGGAAGGAGAGAAGACUUUGGUCUGGUGUGGGCGGUGGCUU